rnacentral:pre_miRNA from 1 species
AGAUGUACACUUAAACUUAGUUUAUAUGACCUACUUAAACUGGGUUUACAUGAGCUACUUAAACUAAGUUUACAUGAUCUACUUAAACUGAGUUUAAAUAUGUACACUUAAACUUAGUUUACAUGACCUACUUAAAAUAAGUUUACAUGUACAUACUUAAACUGAGAUUACAUAGAAUCAUUGAACAAGGUUGAACUUUUAAAUGUACACUUAAACUCGGUUUACAUGACCUAUUUAAACUUAGUUUAAGUAUGUACACUUAAACUCAGUUUACAUGACCUCC